rnacentral:rRNA from 1 species
CUACGGGAUGCACCAGUAAGGAAUAUUGCGCAAUGGAGGCAACUCUGACGCAGCCAUGCCGCGUGCAGGAAGAAGGCCUUAUGGGUCGUAAACUGCUUUUAUUUAGGAAUAAACCCCCGAACGUGUUCGGGGCUGAAGGUACUAAACGAAUAAGCACCGGCUAACUCCGUGCCAGCAGCCGCGGUAAUACGGAGGGUGCAAGCGUUAUCGGAUUUAUUGGGUUUAAAGGGUGCGCAGGCGGGCUAUUAAGUCAGUGGUGAAAUCCCGGGGCUCAACUCCGGAACUGCCAUUGAUACUGAUAGUCUUGAGUGUGGUUGAAGUGGGCGGAAUGUAGCAUGUAGCGGUGAUAUGCAUAGAUAUGCUACAGAACACCAAUCGCGAAGGCAGCUCACUAAGCCAAAACUGACGCUCAUGCACGAAAGCGUGGGGAUCAAACAGGAUUAGAUACCCGGGUAGUC